AUUGAACGCUGGCGGCAUGCCUUACAUAUGCAAGUCGAACGGCAGCACGGGUGCUUGCACCUGGUGGCGAGUGGCGAACGGGUGAGUAAUACAUCGGAACGUACCUUAUCGUGGGGGAUAACGCAGCGAAAGCUGUGCUAAUACCGCAUACGCCCUGAGGGGGAAAGCGGGGGAUCGAAAGACCUCGCGCGAUUAGAGCGGCCGAUGCCUGAUUAGCUUGUUGGUGGGGUAAAAGCCCACCAAGGCGACGAUCAGUAGCUGGUCUGAGAGGACGAUCAGCCACACUGGGACUGAGACACGGCCCAGACUCCCACGGGAGGCAGCAGUGGGGAAUUUUGGACAAUGGGGGCAACCCUGAUCCAGCAAUGCCGCGUGAGUGAAGAAGGCCUUCGGGUUGUAAAGCUCUUUUGUCAGGGAAGAAACACCGGCUCUAACACAGUCCGGGAAUGACGGUACCUGAAGAAUAAGCACCGGCUAACUACGUGCCAGCCGCCGCAGUAA
rnacentral:rRNA from 1 species